UGGCUCUCGCAUCGAUGAAGAACGCAGCGAAAUGCGAUAAGUAAUGUGAAUUGCAGAAUUCAGUGAAUCAUCGAAUCUUUGAACGCAUCUUGCGCUCCUUGGUAUUCCAUGGAGCAUGCCUGUUUGAGUGUCACGUAAACCUCAUCCUCGCGAUGUUAAAACCGUCGCCUGUGGUGGACUUGGACCGUGCAGUAAUUGGUUACCGCUCGUCCUCAAAAGUAUUAGCUUGCGCUAGUUAGAGUGCUUGGAUCGGUGUGAUAAUUAUCUGCGCCGCUUCCUCAGGUCUCUUCUUUGGUGCGCUGCUUCCAGCCGUCCUUUGUGGACAAACACUCUUUUAAGCUUUGGCCUCAAAUCAGGUAGGACUACCCGCUGA
rnacentral:misc_RNA from 1 species